rnacentral:rRNA from 1 species
GAUCCUGGCUCAGGAUGAACGCUAGCUACAGGCUUAACACAUGCAAGUCGAGGGGCAGCAUGACCUAGCAAUAGGUUGAUGGCGACCGGCGCACGGGUGAGUAACACGUAUCCAACCUACCGGUUAUUCCGGGAUAGCCUUUCGAAAGAAAGACUAAUACCGGAUAGUAUAACGAGAAGGCAUCUUUUUGUUAUUAGAGAAUUUCGAUAACCGAUGGGGAUGCGUUCCAUUAGUUUGUUGGCGGGGUAACGGCCCACCAAG